ACUCCGUGCCAGCAGCCGCGGUAAUACGGAGGGGGUUAGCGUUGUUCGGAAUUACUGGGCGUAAAGCGCGCGUAGGCGGAUUGGAAAGUUGGGGGUGAAAUCCCGGGGCUCAACCCCGGAACUGCCUCCAAAACUAUCAGUCUAGAGUUCGAGAGAGGUGAGUGGAAUUCCGAGUGUAGAGGUGAAAUUCGUAGAUAUUCGGAGGAACACCAGUGGCGAAGGCGGCUCACUGGCUCGAUACUGACGCUGAGGUGCGAAAGUGUGGGGAGCAAACAGGAUUAGAUACCCUGGUAGUCCACACCGUAAACGAUGAAUGCCAGACGUCGGGGGGC
rnacentral:rRNA from 1 species